GACGAACGCUGGCGGCGUGCCUAAUACAUGCAAGUAGAACGCACAGUUUAUACCGUAGCUUGCUACACCAUAGACUGUGAGUUGCGAACGGGUGAGUAACGCGUAGGUAGCCUGCCUGGUAGCGGGUGAUAACUAUUGGAAACGAUAGCUAAUACCGCAUAAUAUUGAUUAUUGCAUGCUAAUUGAUUGAAAGAUGCUAUUGCAUCACUACCAGAUGUACCUGCGUUGUAUUAGCUAGUAGGUGAGGUAACGGCUCACCUAGGCGACGAUACAUAGCCGACCUGCGAGGGUGAUCGGCCAAGCUGGGACGGAGACACGGCCCAGACUCCUACGGGAGGCAGCAGUAGGGGAUCUUCGGCAAUGGACGAAAGUCUGACCGAGCAACGCCGCGUGAGUGAAGAAGGUUUUCGGAUCGUAAAGCUCUGUUGUAAGAGAAGAACGGGUGUGAGAGUGGAAAGUUCACACUGUGACGGUAUCUUACCAGAAAGGGACGGCUAACUACGUG
rnacentral:rRNA from 1 species